AUUGAACGCUGGCGGCAGGCCUAACACAUGCAAGUCGAGCGGAGCGGCGGACGGGUGAGUACGGCCUAGGAAUCUGCAUGGUGGUGGGGGAUCCCGUCCGGAAACGGGCGAUUAUGCCGCAUACUUUCAGUUGUGACUAGGUGGGAUUAGCUAGGUGGUGGGGUAAAGGGCUACCAAGGCGUCGAUCCGUAACUGGGCUGAGAGGAUGAUCAGUAACACUGGAACUGAGACACGGUCCAUCAUCCUACGGGAGGCAGCAGUGGGGAAUAUUGGGCAAUGGGCGAAAGCCUGAUCGAGCCAUGCCGCGUGUGUGAAGAAGGUCUUCGGAUUGUAAAGCACUUUAAUUUGGGAGGCGUUACCAACAGAAUAAGCACCGGCUAACUACGUGCCAGCAGCCGCGGUAAUAC
rnacentral:rRNA from 1 species